AUUGAACGCUGGCGGCAGGCCUAACACAUGCAAGUCGAACGGUAACAGGAAGCAGCUUGCUGCUUCGCUGACGAGUGGCGGACGGGUGAGUAAUGUCUGGGAAACUGCCUGAUGGAGGGGGAUAACUACUGGAAACGGUAGCUAAUACCGCGUAACGUCGCAAGACCAAAGAGGGGGACCUUAGGGCCUCUUGCCAUCGGAUGUGCCCAGAUGGGAUUAGCUAGUAGGUGGGGUAACGGCUCACCUAGGCGACGAUCCCUAGCUGGUCUGAGAGGAUGACCAGCCACACUGGAACUGAGACACGGUCCAGACUCCUACGGGAGGCAGCAGUGGGGAAUAUUGCACAAUGGGCGCAAGCCUGAUGCAGCCAUGCCGCGUGUAUGAAGAAGGCCUUCGGGUUGUAAAGUACUUUCAGCGGGGAGGAAGGGAGUAAAGUUAAUACCUUUGCUCAUUGACGUUACCCGCAGAAGAAGCACCGGCUAACUCCGUG
rnacentral:rRNA from 1 species